UACGUAGGAGGCAAGCGUUGUCCGGAAUCAUUGGGCGUAAAGCGCGCGUAGGUGGCCCCGUAAGUCCGCUGUGAAAGUCAAAGGCUCAACCUUUGAAAGCCGGUGGAUACUGUGGGACUAGAGUACGGAAGAGGCGAGUGGAAUUCCUGGUGUAGCGGUGGAAUGCGCAGAUAUCAGGAGGAACACCAAUAGCGAAGGCAGCUCGCUGGGACGUUACUGACACUGAGGCGCGAAAGCGUGGGGAGCGAACAGG
rnacentral:rRNA from 1 species